CUCAUCCCAGCCCCCAGUCCUUAACCUUUAACCGGCAGCUCCCCAUCACCCAGCUCUUCCUCUGCUUCCUACCCACAAGUCCUGCUUUUUCACAUUUUCCCUUCCCACCUCUGAGUACCUUUGUCUCACAACUCCGCACUAUCAGUUAAUGACAAAGUCCUUCUAGUGUGGGUGUGAUGGGAAGGAAAGAGAGAAGCACAUUCCUAAGCAGGGAGGCUGGGGCAGCUGCCCCCAACCCCUGCUCCAGGCUAUGUGGCGGAGAAGCCCAUCUGAGCAGAUCUGAGACAAUCGGUAUGGGUGCUCUCAGACGGACCAUCAGUGCCAUCAAGGAGAAGACACUGACUCAUCCAUUGGAAGAUGUGGUUCCUUCCAUGAAGUUUCCCUGUUGAUGUUUGGUACAAAAUAAGGAACUGGAAACAGGACUUUGGACAAGCUGGUUUUCAAAGUACUCAAGGAGCAGAGUCCACCUGUGGGCUGGCGGGGCCUGACCUUUGCCACCUGGAGGGGUUACAGGGAGAUGGGUGCCAACAAGAGGCUGCGGGCUCCUCUGGUCAUUGAGACAUCCACCCUCCAGGUCAGCAAGUGCCUGGUUCUUUCAGGCUCUUUCUCUCCUUUUCCAAAGUCUCCCAAAUUUGGAUGGCCCCCACCAGGAAUUUCUGGGCACCCUGGGGUUUCUCCUGCCUUUUGGAUUUCCUGGGGCUGGAGCAAAUGUGGUCCCCAGGGGAGCGGGGAGAACUGCAUCUGAGGCCCGGCUCUGCUGUAAGCAUUGGAGUGACCUGGGAAAAGUCACUUGACCCUCUUGGGCCUCAGUUUUCUUAUCUGCCAAGAGGAUCUUGACAUUACCUGCCUUUUCUUCCUGGUUUUCACGAAGAUCGCACACAAAUAUGAAAAUGCUUCACAAACUGAAAGAUGCUUCAUGAUUGUCAGGUGGCCCUGUUAGUGACCCCAGUGCUAUCCCUUGUGAUUUCUCCCUACCUGGAAAGAAGAGCAUGGGAGCAGGCAGCAAGUCUUCAAUGAGGAGGUUAUUCC
ensembl:lncRNA